rnacentral:rRNA from 1 species
UACGUAGGCAGCAAGCGUUGUUCGGAAUUACUGGGCGUAAAGAGUGUGUAGGCGGUGCUCCAAGUCUGGUGUGAAAUCUCCCGGCUCAACUGGGAGGGUGCGCUAGAAACUGGAAUGCUAGAGGAUGGGAGAGGUAAGCGGAAUUCCUGGUGUAGCGGUGAAAUGCGUAGAUAUCGGGAGGAACACCUGUGGCGAAAGCGGCGCACUGGACCACAACUGACGCUGAGGCGCGAAAGCUAGGGGAGCAAACAGG